rnacentral:rRNA from 1 species
CUUGGGCUUAGUAAUUGGAAUGAGGGAGAGUUAAACGGACCAUCGAGUAUCCAUUGGAGGGCAAGUCUGGUGCCAGCAGCUGCGGUAAUACCAGCUCCAAUAGCGUAUAUUAAAGUUGUUGCAGUUAAAAAGCUCGUAGUUGGACUUGUGUGCGCUGUCCGCGGGUGGCCUGCGCCCAAAAGGGCGUUUCGGUUCGGCCCCGGUGGCGCCUUGAAAUCUGCAGCUGGGGGGACGUUGGCCUUAACUGGUCGGCGACCGCACGCCGGCUGCUCGGUUACUGCGAGAAAAUUAGAGUGUUCAAGGCAGGCAUUGGGUGCAAUUGAAUACAUUAGCAUGGAAUAAUAAAAUAUGGCUCCUGCCGUAUUUUGUUGGUUUUGACUGGUGGGAGUAAUGAUUGAUAGGGACGGUUGGGGGUGCUAGUAUUGAGCGGCCAGAGGUGAAAUUCAUGGAUUCGCUCAAGACUAACUUAUGCGAAAGCAUUCACCAAGGACGUCCUCUUUAAUCAAGAACGAAAGUUGGGGGAUCGAAGACGAUCAGAUACCGUCGUAGUCUCAACCAUAAACUAUGUCGACUUGGGAUCGGCGGUAGUUUUUUCAUUAAGACACUGUCGGGACCACGGGAGAAAUCAAAGUGUCUGGACUCUGGGGGAAGUAUGGUCGCAAGGCUGAAACUUGAAGGAAUUGACGGAAGGGCACCACCAGGAGUGGAGCCUGCGGCUUAAUUUGACACAACACGGGGAAACUUACCAGGUCCAGAGAUGUAGAGGAUUGACAGAUUGAAGCUCUUUCUUGAUCACUUCGGUGGUGGUGCAUGGCCGUUCUUAGUUGGUGGAGUGAUUUGUCUGGUUAAUUCCGUUAAUGAACGAGACCUCAGCCUGCUAGUGUAGUCGGCUGGAUUGCCUUUGGCGAUCCGUGAUUUCGACUUCUUAGAGGGACAAUCGACGCGCAGUCGAUGGAAGUUUGAGGCAAUAACAGGUCUGUGAUGCCCUUAGAUGUUCUGGGCCGCACGCGCGCUACACUGCUGGGCUCAGCGAGUUUUACUUGGCCGAGAGGCCCGGUUAAUCUUGUGAAAUCCCAGCGUGCUUGGGCUCGCCUCCUGCAACUGGAGGCGCCAACGAGGAAUUCCUAGUAGACGCAGGUCAUCAACCUGCAUCGAUUACGUCCCUGCCCUUUGUACACACCGCCCGUCGUUCCAUAAGAGUGAGGCAUCCGGUGAAUUCUCGGGAGAGCCUGGGCGUGGCCAGCAAUGGUCUGCUCGGGUUUGAACUUGCAUAAACUUGGUGCCUAUGAUUAGGG